rnacentral:rRNA from 1 species
GAUGAACGCUGGCGGCGUGCUUAACACAUGCAAGUCGAACGAUGAUGCCCAGCUUGCUGGGUGGAUUAGUGGCGAACGGGUGAGUAACACGUGAGUAACCUGCCCUUGACUCUGGGAUAAGCCUGGGAAACUGGGUCUAAUACCGGAUACGACCAUCUGGCGCAUGUCAUGGUGGUGGAAAGCUUUUGUGGUUUUGGAUGGACUCGCGGCCUAUCAGCUUGUUGGUGGGGUAAUGGCCUACCAAGGCGACGACGGGUAGCCGGCCUGAGAGGGUGACCGGCCACACUGGGACUGCGACACGGCCCAGACUCCUACGGGAGGCAGCAGUGGGGAAUAUUGCACGAUGGGCGCAAGCCUGAUGCAGCGACGCCGCGUGAGGGAUGACGGCCUUCGGGUUGUAAACCUCUUUCAGUAGGGAAGAAGCGAAAGUGACGGUACCUGCAGAAGAAGCGCCGGCUAACUACGUG